GUGAGACGAGUCGGAGCCCGCAGCAAGCUUAAGGUUGGCUGGAAGAUGCACCCGGGUAGGAAAAAGAGAGGCAAUAGCAAUCAAGAAGACUGGAUUUGUUACUGAGCGGAGAUUGUGUAGAAGUGUAUUCUUCAAUUUCCAUACCUUUCUGCUAUUGGUUUCUAGUUGAUUCCAUUAUGGUCAACAAACAUCCUCCCUAUGAUUUCAGUUUUCUCUACCUGAGGAUCAUGCCACCCAAGACAUGAUCUAUCUUGUUCUAUCAGCUUCUGGGAGAUGGGUGCAGAAGUCUGCAACUAUAAUUAUGGAUUCAUCUUUCUCCGCUUGGUUUUUGCUUCAAAAGAUAAAAGGCAUGGAGAAGGUAAUGUCUUUUGAGGCUCUGCUAUUUGGUGUGUGUGCAAAUUUAGAAUUAGUAUGUUUUCCUGCUGGAUCACCCCUGUCAGGUACAUAAUAAAAGGA